UACGGAGGGUGCAAGCGUUAUCCGGAUUCACUGGGCUUAAAGGGUGCGUAGGAGGGCAGGUAAGUCAGUGGUGAAAUCCUAGAGCUUAACUCUAGAACUGCCGUUGGUACUAUCUGUCUUGAAUAUUGUGGAGGUGAGCGGAAUAUGUCAUGUAGCGGUGAAAUGCUUAGAUAUGACAUAGAACACCAAUUGCGAAGGCAGCUCGCUACACAUAUAUUGACUCUGAGGCACGAAAGCGUGGGGAUCAAACAGG
rnacentral:rRNA from 1 species